CUCCUCUCAGGGUCGCACCUGCAAAGUUUCCAGUACUUUACCAGUCUCGACUGUGGGAGGGGGAGUCAAGCAGAGGCCUAUCCAUUCCAUUCUUAGCUUGGCCAGUGGCUAGCGAGUGGAAGGCAAUCUACCUCAAGU